rnacentral:rRNA from 1 species
AUUGAACGCUGGCGGCAUGCUUUACACAUGCAAGUCGAACGGAGGUUGGGAGCUUGCUCCCAACUUUAGUGGCGAACGGGUGAGUAAUACAUCGGAACGUACCGCGUAGUGGGGGAUAACGAGUCGAAAGAUUCGCUAAUACCGCAUAUUCUCUACGGAGGAAAGCAGGGGAUCUUCGGACCUUGUGCUAUGCGAGCGGCCGAUGGCUGCUUAGCUAGUUGGUAGGGUAAAGGCCUACCAAGGCAACGAUCAGUAGCGGGUCUGAGAGGACGACCCGCCACACUGGGACUGAGGCACGGCCCAGACUCCUACGCGAGGCAGCAGUGGGGAAUCUUGGACAAUGGUCGCAAGCCUGAUCCAGCAAGGCCGCUUACGUGAAGGAGGCCGUCGGGUUGUAAAGCGCUUUGGUCAGGGAGCAAAAGGUACUGGCUAAUAUCUAGCGCUCUUGAGAGUACCUGAAGAAUAGGGACCGGCUAACUACGUGCCAUCCGCCGCCGUAACAC